rnacentral:lncRNA from 10 species
UUUGAAGGAGCUGUAGCAUAUACUGUGAGUGUUCCACCCAUAGCCUCUGAAACAUGGAUGAUCAUGAAUUUUACUGCUAAUGGCUAGAACUCACCUCCCUUCAUUUGCAGGGCCACCCUCAGGCUUCCUGAUACCGCUUUAUGUGCUAUUAUUCAUAUGAAAAUAUUUAUGUAAUCUAUGGAUUUCAAUUUAAGGAUGCCAUGAAUAAAAAUCUCUAAGGUAACUUGUGUUCUUA